rnacentral:rRNA from 1 species
UUUAUUGGAGAGUUUGAUCCUGGCUCAGGAUGAACGCUGGCGGCGUGCCUAAUACAUGCAAGUCGAGCGAAUGGAUUGAGAGCUUGCUCUCAAGAAGUUAGCGGCGGACGGGUGAGUAACACGUGGGUAACCUGCCCAUAAGACUGGGAUAACUCCGGGAAACCGGGGCUAAUACCGGAUAACAUUUUGAACUGCAUGGUUCGAAAUUGAAAGGCGGCUUCGGCUGUCACUUAUGGAUGGACCCGCGUCGCAUUAGCUAGUUGGUGAGGUAACGGCUCACCAAGGCAACGAUGCGUAGCCGACCUGAGAGGGUGAUCGGCCACACUGGGACUGAGACACGGCCCAGACUCCUACGGGAGGCAGCAGUAGGGA